UGAGUCGACCCCUAAGGCGAGGCCGAAAGGCGUAGUCGAUGGGAAACAGGUUAAUAUUCCUGUACUUGGUGUUACUGCGAAGGGGGGACGGAGAAGGCUAUGUUGGCCGGGCGACGGUUGUCCCGGUUUAAGCGUGUAGGCUGGUUUUCCAGGCAAAUCCGGAAAAUCAAGGCUGAGGCGUGAUGACGAGGCACUACGGUGCUGAAGCAACAAAUGCCCUGCUUCCAGGAAAAGCCUCUAAGCAUCAGGUAACAUCAAAUCGUACCCCAAACCGACACAGGUGGUCAGGUAGAGAAUACCAAGGCGCUUGAGAGAACUCGGGUGAAGGAACUAGGCAAAAUGGUGCCGUAACUUCGGGAGAAGGCACGCUGAUAUGUAGGUGAAGUCCCUCGCGGAUGGAGCUGAAAUCAGUCGAAGAUACCAGCUGGCUGCAACUGUUUAUUAAAAACACAGCACUGUGCAAACACGAAAGUGGACGUAUACGGUGUGACGCCUGCCCGGUGC
rnacentral:rRNA from 1 species